GUUUUAAUUGGAGGCUGAGAUGAACGUCUGAUGAAGGAUAUACUGUCUUUCCCUCAGUUUUGGAAUUUAAGUUCUUAGUGAAAAGGCUGAGAUUGGUUGAGGGGACGAUAAGACCCUAUAAAACUUUAUAUGGGUCUGGUUCCAUGUAAGUGUGGAAUCCAGGUUAGGUGGGAAUGUAUUUCGUUGGGGCGAUGUUGAUGUAAUUUGUAACUGUCUUGUGUAAUUUGAUAAUUAUGGUUAAUUUUGAUCCUUUAAUAUGGAUUAACAAAUAGAGUGACCUAGGGAUAACUGCAUA
rnacentral:rRNA from 1 species